ACGCCCACCGAAUUUCCUACUUUCAUUUUUGAAAAAUCUUCUAUUUGGAGAUAGAUUUGUACGCAUCUAUUUACAUUUUAUCUGCGAAAGAAAAUACACUUGCUCAGUUGCUGAAGUGGCUCUCUUUCUCGUCCUUAAGAGCACACAUAACUUCUAAAACGUAAAAAAAAACAUGUGAAAGAAAAGGGAAACUAGAUAUUUGAGAGAUAGAAAAUAGAAGAAAAGGAAAAGAAAAAGGAAACUAGAUAUUUGAGAGAUAGAAAAUAGAAGAAAAGGAAAAG